rnacentral:rRNA from 1 species
UACGGGGGGGGCAAGCGUUGUUCGGAAUUACUGGGCGUAAAGGGCGUGUAGGCGGUCUUCUAAGUCAGACGUGAAAUCCCCCGGCUUAACCUGGGAACUGCGUCUGAUACUGGGAGGCUUGAGUAUGGGAGAGGGAUGUAGAAUUCCAGGUGUAGCGGUGAAAUGCGUAGAUAUCUGGAGGAAUACCGGUGGCGAAGGCGGCAUCCUGGACCAUUACUGACGCUUAAGCGCGAAAGCUAGGGGAGCAAACGGG